rnacentral:rRNA from 1 species
GACGAACGCUGGCGGCAGGCCUAACACAUGCAAGUCGAACGAGUGGCGGACGGGUGAGUAAUGUCUGGGAAACUGCCUGAUGGAGGGGGAUAACUACUGGAAACGGUAGCUAAUACCGCAUACCAUCAGAUGUGCCCAGAUGGGAUUAGCUAGUAGGUGGGGUAACGGCUCACCUAGGCGACGAUCCCUAGCUGGUCUGAGAGGAUGAACAGCCACACUGGAACUGAGACACGGUCCAGACUCCUACGGGAGGCAGCAGUGGGGAAUAUUGCACAAUGGGCGCAAGCCUGAUGCAGCCAUGCCGCGUGUAUGAAGAAGGCCUUAGGGUUGUAAAGUACUUUCAGCGGGGAGGCGUUACCCGCAGAAGAAGCACCGGCUAACUCCGUGCCAGAAGCCGCGGUAAUUC